CCGCGCUAGGCGGGGAGUUAGCGGUGCCCUGUACUCGCAAUCCGCUACAGCGAGGCGUAAUCCCUGCCCCAGGCCCUCAUUUUUGAGGCUGCCCGGCGCAAGCGGCGUCGAUGUCCGGGUCCUGCGCAAUGAGGACCUGUGAACCCCGUCAGGAUCGGAAGAUAGCAGCGGUAAACAGGAAACCUCAUGUGCCGCGGGGAAGCCUGGACGGAGCCGGCUACGUCGGUACCGCUCGGAAGUGAGUUUCGAAGGCAGGUGCGCGG
rnacentral:SRP_RNA from 1 species